rnacentral:rRNA from 1 species
UUAAGGGCGCACGGUGGAUGCCUUGGCACUAGAAGCCGAUGAAGGACGUUACUAACGACGAUAUGCUUUGGGGAGCUGUAAGUAAGCUUUGAUCCAGAGAUUUCCGAAUGGGGAAACCCAGCAUGAGUUAUGUCAUGUUAUCGAUAUGUGAAUACAUAGCAUAUCAGAAGGCACACCCGGAGAACUGAAACAUCUUAGUACCCGGAGGAAGAGAAAGAAAAUUCGAUUCCCUUAGUAGCGGCGAGCGAAACGGGAAGAGCCCAAACCAACAAGCUUGCUUGUUGGGGUUGUAGGACACUCUAUACGGAGUUACAAAGGACGACAUUAGACGAAUCAUCUGGAAAGAUGAAUCAAAGAAGGUAAUAAUCCUGUAGUCGAAAAUGUUGUCUCUCUUGAGUGGAUCCUGAGUACGACGGAGCACGUGAAAUUCCGUCGGAAUCUGGGAGGACCAUCUCCUAAGGCUAAAUACUCUCUAGUGACCGAUAGUGAACCAGUACCGUGAGGGAAAGGUGAAAAGCACCCCGGAAGGGGAGUGAAAUAGAACCUGAAACCGUGUGCUUACAAGUAGUCAGAGCCCGUUAAUGGGUGAUGGCGUGCCUUUUGUAGAAUGAACCGGCGAGUUACGAUUUGAUGCAAGGUUAAGCAGUAAAUGUGGAGCCGUAGCGAAAGCGAGUCUGAAUAGGGCGUUUAGUAUUUGGUCGUAGACCCGAAACCAGGUGAUCUACCCUUGGUCAGGUUGAAGUUCAGGUAACACUGAAUGGAGGACCGAACCGACUUACGUUGAAAAGUGAGCGGAUGAACUGAGGGUAGCGGAGAAAUUCCAAUCGAACCUGGAGAUAGCUGGUUCUCUCCGAAAUAGCUUUAGGGCUAGCCUCAAGUGAUGAUUAUUGGAGGUAGAGCACUGUUUGGACGAGGGGCCCCUCUCGGGUUACCGAAUUCAGACAAACUCCGAAUGCCAAUUAAUUUAACUUGGGAGUCAGAACAUGGGUGAUAAGGUCCGUGUUCGAAAGGGAAACAGCCCAGACCACCAGCUAAGGUCCCAAAAUAUAUGUUAAGUGGAAAAGGAUGUGGCGUUGCCCAGACAACUAGGAUGUUGGCUUAGAAGCAGCCAUCAUUUAAAGAGUGCGUAAUAGCUCACUAGUCGAGUGACACUGCGCCGAAAAUGUACCGGGGCUAAACAUAUUACCGAAGCUGUGGAUUGUCCUUUGGACAAUGGUAGGAGAGCGUUCUAAGGGCGUUGAAGCAUGAUCGUAAGGACAUGUGGAGCGCUUAGAAGUGAGAAUGCCGGUGUGAGUAGCGAAAGACGGGUGAGAAUCCCGUCCACCGAUUGACUAAGGUUUCCAGAGGAAGGCUCGUCCGCUCUGGGUUAGUCGGGUCCUAAGCUGAGGCCGACAGGCGUAGGCGAUGGAUAACAGGUUGAUAUUCCUGUACCACCUAUAAUCGUUUUAAUCGAUGGGGGGGACGCAGUAGGAUAGGCGAAGCGUGCGAUUGGAUUGCACGUCUAAGCAGUAAGGCUGAGUAUUAGGCAAAUCCGGUACUCGUUAAGGCUGAGCUGUGAUGGGGAGAAGACAUUGUGUCUUCGAGUCGUUGAUUUCACACUGCCGAGAAAAGCCUCUAGAUAGAAAAUAGGUGCCCGUACCGCAAACCGACACAGGUAGUCAAGAUGAGAAUUCUAAGGUGAGCGAGCGAACUCUCGUUAAGGAACUCGGCAAAAUGACCCCGUAACUUCGGGAGAAGGGGUGCUCUUUAGGGUUAACGCCCAGAAGAGCCGCAGUGAAUAGGCCCAAGCGACUGUUUAUCAAAAACACAGGUCUCUGCUAAACCGUAAGGUGAUGUAUAGGGGCUGACGCCUGCCCGGUGCUGGAAGGUUAAGAGGAGUGGUUAGCUUCUGCGAAGCUACGAAUCGAAGCCCCAGUAAACGGCGGCCGUAACUAUAACGGUCCUAAGGUAGCGAAAUUCCUUGUCGGGUAAGUUCCGACCCGCACGAAAGGCGUAACGAUUUGGGCACUGUCUCAACGAGAGACUCGGUGAAAUCAUAGUACCUGUGAAGAUGCAGGUUACCCGCGACAGGACGGAAAGACCCCGUGGAGCUUUACUGUAGCCUGAUAUUGAAAUUCGGCACAGCUUGUACAGGAUAGGUAGGAGCCUUUGAAACGUGAGCGCUAGCUUACGUGGAGGCGCUGGUGGGAUACUACCCUAGCUGUGUUGGCUUUCUAACCCGCACCACUUAUCGUGGUGGGAGACAGUGUCAGGCGGGCAGUUUGACUGGGGCGGUCGCCUCCUAAAAGGUAACGGAGGCGCUCAAAGGUUCCCUCAGAAUGGUUGGAAAUCAUUCAUAGAGUGUAAAGGCAUAAGGGAGCUUGACUGCGAGACCUACAAGUCGAGCAGGGUCGAAAGACGGACUUAGUGAUCCGGUGGUUCCGCAUGGAAGGGCCAUCGCUCAACGGAUAAAAGCUACCCCGGGGAUAACAGGCUUAUCUCCCCCAAGAGUUCACAUCGACGGGGAGGUUUGGCACCUCGAUGUCGGCUCAUCGCAUCCUGGGGCUGUAGUCGGUCCCAAGGGUUGGGCUGUUCGCCCAUUAAAGCGGUACGCGAGCUGGGUUCAGAACGUCGUGAGACAGUUCGGUCCCUAUCCGUCGUGGGCGUAGGAAAUUUGAGAGGAGCUGUCCUUAGUACGAGAGGACCGGGAUGGACAUACCUCUGGUGUACCAGUUGUCGUGCCAACGGCAUAGCUGGGUAGCUAUGUGUGGACGGGAUAAGUGCUGAAAGCAUCUAAGCAUGAAGCCCCCCUCAAGAUGAGAUUUCCCAACUUCGGUUAUAAGAUCCCUCAAAGAUGAUGAGGUUAAUAGGUUCGAGGUGGAAGCAUGGUGACAUGUGGAGCUGACGAAUACUAAUCGAUCGAAGACUUAAUC